rnacentral:rRNA from 1 species
UACGUAGGGGGCGAGCGUUGUCCGGAGUUACUGGGCGUAAAGCGCACGCAGGCGGUCUGCUAAGUUUGGAGUGACAGUUGGUGGCUUAACUGCCAAAGUGCUUCGAAAACUGACAGACUUGAGGGCUUCAGAGGGACACGGAAUUCCGGGUGGAGCGGUGAAAUGCGCAGAUAUCGGGAGGAACACCGGUGGCGAAGGCGGUUCUCUGGGCCUUACCUGACGCUGAGGAGCGAAAGCGUGGGGAGCGAACAGG